GAUGAACGCUGGCGGCGUGCCUAAUACAUGCAAGUCGAGCGAACGGACGAGAAGCUUGCUUCUCUGAUGUUAGCGGCGGACGGGUGAGUAACACGUGGAUAACCUACCUAUAAGACUGGGAUAACUUCGGGAAACCGUAGCUAAUACCGGAUAAUAUUUUGAACCGCGUGGUUCAAAAGUGAAAGACGGUCUUGCUGUCACUUAUAGAUGGAUCCGCGCUGCAUUAGCUAGUUGGUAAGGUAACGGCUUACCAAGGCAACGAUGCAUAGCCGACCUGAGAGGGUGAUCGGCCACACUGGAACUGAGACACGGUCCAGACUCCUACGGGAGGCAGCAGUAGGGAAUCUUCCGCAAUGGGCGAAAGCCUGACGGAGCAACGCCGCGUGAGUGAUGAAGGUCUUCGGAUCGUAAAACUCUGUUAUUUGGGAAGAACAUAUGUGUAAGUAACUGUGCACAUCUUGACGGUACCUAAUCAGAAAGCCACGGCUAACUACGUG
rnacentral:rRNA from 1 species